AGGUGGGAGGCUUUGAAACCAGGACGCCAGUUUUGGCGGAGCCAUCCUUGGGAUACCACCCUUGUAGUACUGGGACUCUAACCAUAGGCCAUGAAUCUGGUCUUGGGACACUGUCAGGUGGGCAGUUUGACUGGGGCGGUCGCCUCCCAAAAGGUAACGGAGGCGCUCAAAGGUUCUCUCAGUACGGUCGGAAAUCGUACGUAGAGUGUAAAGGCAAAAGAGAGCUUGAUUGCAAGACAUACAGGUCGAGCAAGGAUGAAAAUCGGACUUAGUGAUCCGGUGGUUCUGCGUGGAAGGGCCAUCGCUCAACGGAUAAAAGCUACCCUGGGGAUAACAGGCUUAUCUCCCCCAAGAGUCCACAUCGACGGGGAGGUUUGGCACCUCGAUGUCGGCUCAUCACAUCCUGGGGCUGUAGUAGGUCCCAAGGGUUGGGCUGUUCGCCCAUUAAAGUGGUACGCGAGCUGGGUUCAGAACGUCGUGAGACAGUUCGGUCCCUAUCCGUCGCAGGCGUAGGAAAUUUGAGAAGACCUGUCCUUAGUACGAGAGGACCGGGAUGGACGUACCUCUGGUGUACCAGUUGUUCUGCCAAGGGCAUGGCUGGGUAGCUAUGUACGGAAUGGA
rnacentral:rRNA from 1 species